rnacentral:rRNA from 1 species
AGUGAACGCUGGCGGUAGGCCUAACACAUGCAAGUCGAACGGCAGCACAGUAAGAGUUUGCUCUUAUGGGUGGCGAGUGGCGGACGGGUGAGGAGUAUAUCGGAAUCUACUCUUUCGUGGGGGAUAACGCAGUGAAUCUUACGCUAAUACCGCAUACGACCUACGGGUGAUAGCAGGGGAUCUUCGGACCUUGUGCGAUUGAAUGAGCCGAUGUCGGAUUAGCUAGUUGGCGGGGUAAAGGCCCACCAUGGCGAGGAUCCGUAGCUGGUCUGAGAGGAUGAUCAGCUACACUGGAACAGAGACACAGUCCAGACUCCUAGAAGAGGCAGCGGUGGGGAAUAUUCGACAAUGGGCGAAAGCCUAAUCCAGCCAAACCGCGUGAGUGAAGAACGCCUUCGGGUGGGAAAGCCCUUUAGUUGGGCGAGAAAAACAGCAGUUUAGUACCCCGCUAUGAUGACGGUACCCGAAGAAUAAGCACCGGCAAACUUCGUG